rnacentral:rRNA from 1 species
CCGAGACUGCCGGCGACCCCUAGUUCGACUACGGUGUUGACGACCCUUCCUUCUUGCCAGAGCAACCAGAUGCUGGAGCCCAGGAGCCAUAUGCCACUGUCGACGACGACUCCUACUACACCGGAGGUGCCUACUACUACGUGGAGGUCGCUGACGACGACCAGGAGUAGUUUAGGAGGAUCCCAGGCAGGAGGCCUGCGCCUCUUUCGAUCUGUAUCCCAGUUUGUGCUAGCCUUCUUAAGGCAAACUUGUUUAACUUAUGUCUGUACUCAGAUAUUGUUGCUUUCGUUGACUCGUCUAUGA